GGCGGAGCGGCCGUUAACGGCAACGCGGAGGGCGGCGGCCCCGGCCCAACGGUCGCGGGGGAGGUGUGCUCCCCCUUGAAGUGCUGUGUCCGGCUUGGGAGUCCCCAGCGGAAGGACAUGGACCUGUUGCAGCAGGUGGGAAGAGCCGGCUCAUCUCUGUCUCUUACCUGCGGUAUGGCUGACCCACUGAUGUGCACUUAAUCUCACCCAAGCUAACUAUGUAUGCAGCUGCUUGAAAUUAAGCACCGAGAGACCGAAUUUCAAACAUAUUACUAAUUUCAAGAAAACACCACAUACGAAGGUUCAUUUAUAAAAGGUCAGUAAAUGCUUUAACAGAUUUUGUAACAAAUAAUAGUCAUUUGUCUCAUAUUUUGAUAAAGACUGCAACAGGUUAAUAGGCUGUUUAUUGCCAUGGUUUAUCACCAGCUAUGAUGUCUUCUACUGAUGUGCUUGUAGUAUUUCCAGUGUAUCCCACUCUGUUUUAAACAUGCUAAUAAUUAAUAAUGUGCAAUCUUUGUAAGUCCCCUUAAAAUGCAACUAGGAUAUAACCUUUAUUGAAAAAAGAUGCAAACAGGUGCUCUCUCUUGUAUUUAAUGGAGUGGAUUUAAUACUGAAAAAAAUGUGCUUCCAGCCAAAGAACAGGCCCUUGUGUGUGUUGGUUGUGCAAACGACGUUUGACAGUUGUAAUGAACUCAUACUAUGAAACUCUAAUAUCCACUGAAGGCUAUCUAUGGCGAAUUACUAAUGCCUUCUAAAUUAAGGUCUAUAAUUGCACUCUGGUGAUUAAUGUAUUAAAUUACUGAUUUCUUACAUGUAAGACACUUAGCAAAUGUGUAUCUUAUUGUACCUCUGGGCUCACCUAUAAUGUACAAUAGGCAGGUGAAACACAUGAUCAUUUCCCACAGGCUUCUUCUAAAGCAGGCUUCUACCCAUGCAAGAUCAACUCUGUAAUAAGGUCAUUAUUUCUGGAGACAUGCAUUUUCAUGUCUUGCAUAGGUAAUAACAUUUAGUUCCUUUACCUUAUGAGUCUCAGUUAGAAUUAUCAUAUUAAAUACCAAGAAUUAUUUGAUUUUUUCCCACCUGGAUUUCACAACAAACAUAGGAAAAUCUGUGAUCUUCUUAAUAAACCUCCAGCUUUAAAAAAAAAAAAAGAAAAAAGCCAGUGUGGUUUGUGUUGAGUGUUUGGAGAAAUAUUAAAGCGUUUUAGAAAGCUUUUAUCAAAGCAGUGAACUCAACAGUUUGUCCACAGAAUGGACAGAAUAAUAAAAGGUAAAUUUCUACUUGUACAAAGAUAAUUAUUCUCCAUUUAUAUGUAUAGAAAAAUACAAAAUGAGCCUCUGCAACUGAAUUUUUUCCUGUUUAGGUAGCAUCGGAUUUGAUCUGAAUGUGCUUCUGUGAGCUUCAUUCUUGGUGACACUGAAGACUUUGGAGAGGCAAGUUUUUGCAUUUAUAUUCCUUUAUAGCCUUGGCUACCGCUGGGUUCAAUUACAAAUAUGACUGUGUUAAUUUAAGCAAAAAAGAGAAAAGCAAGAUCAGUAAAGUCUAACUGAGCAAAGUUUGAUCAAUUGAUGAAAGUGCUUUGUUAGUUCUCAGCAUAAGAAUAAUUCAACAUAUUACAUUUUAGCUUGAAAAUGUGUAUAUUUUCAUUUUAACACAUAUUGAAAGCAAAGUUUUGUCUGCUGAAAUUAGCGUGGUCAGAUCUUGGCAAACCAACUCAGAGCUGUGCUUACCCUGCUUUGGAUUCUUAAAAAUAAGAUAAAAAAUAUGCAAAAGGGUAGUGUCUGAGGAACUGACUCAGCCUGCUCUGCUUCUCUCCAAGGUCUGCAGUAGAAAAACGUACUCCCACACUUAAAAUACAUAUAUAUGUGAAAUAUAGCCUGGGAUUGUCUGACCUCUGCAGCUGUACAGGGCAAAUCCCUGUUUCAGGCCCUGCUGCCAGGCCAGCCGGACGCAGCAGCAGCUUUCCCCUGCGGCCGCUCAGACUAGAAGGAGACUUUUGUUCAGGCGGUGCCCGCUGGCCAGGCAGCUGUUCCCCGUGUUCCACAAAGAAAAGCUGAGCAGAGCUGAAAACUGGUUUUACACUAACCUAAAUACCUUUCAAACGUUGGGACUGUAGUAAAUGGGCUUGUGGCAGCUUUCAUGUUAUUGAAUUGUCUGGCAUUUGUAUGGGAGUGUACAUACACACGCACACGUGCAAGCUCAGGUCUCUGCCCACAGAACCCCCCACGCCCCCCCGGAAUAACACAGCGCGCACAGUAUCACGUAAGACAGGUGAGAGGGAGCCCCAAGAAGUAAUACCCGCAGCGUUAACAAAAAGGGAAGAUGAAGGUAAAAAAUCCAUCGGUAACACCAAAAGAAAUGUCCCGUGAAAUUGAAAAUUGUGCAUGCUGACAAUAUGCCAAGACUCUGCAUUCAAUUGGGAUUUAAAAGUCAGCACCUCCACGACAGCUUCGUGACUCCUCUUGCUCUCGAGACACCUGCCUGUUAACAACAGCGUAUUCAGCUGGAAUGGCUGGAUUGCUCCAUUCUGACCGCUUCUCCAAAUGCGAAAAUGACAGGUGAAUUGCAACGUGUCAUGUCGUGCCAUGCAGAAACAGAAAGG